UUCUUUCAACUCGAUGGGAGGAGGACUCCUCCUGGGCCUGGUGCUUCGAGGUCCAGACGAGCAGACACUGGCGCCUGUGACCCUGCAGCGGACGCCCUUCAAAGUCCGCGUGGCUACGUUUGGAAGCCUGGGCGGCGUGGAGAUGGUGCCUUCAGCUUGAGAUAAACGUGGCCCCGUCCCAAAGCACUACUCGAGACAUCAGGAGCCCAUCGUGGGCUUGGGAAGACCCUCCAGGACCUCACGGCCCAGGUCUUCCACCCUUGGCCACCUCCCCCGGUGACACCUGAAGCUCAAGGGACUGUGUCCACCCUCAGGCCCUGCCCGUGGCUGUGGAUCGGCGGUCCCCAUCAGAGGCCUGGGCUGAGUCCUCAGGUCAAGGAGUGGCGCUGACCUGGAGCCCCUGCCUGUGGCUGGCCUUCCUCACGGUGAGCUGGGCCUCCUGCCAUUCUGGCUGUGGUGGGCGUCUGAGUGGAAGAGGCACGCUCAGCCUCACCUCCACACCCUGAAGACUCACUCUCUGGCCCUGGGCUCUGUUGUGUGCACUGCCUGUCUGCAGGGCCCGGCCGGCCUCGAGCCCUCCCCGCCUCGAGCCCUCCCCGGGGACAGAAGCUCCUGCAGUAGCCUCUCCUGUCAUGUAGCCACCGGUCAUCCUGGAGUACAGCCUUCAUGCCCCGAGGCCACCUGCCGUCGCCCAGGAUGACUCAAGAUGCCACCUGGGUAAGUCUAGCCCAGAACAAGAAAGGCCAAAUGAGGGAAACUGAGUCACAUCUGCUUCUCCCAGGUGGGGCUGGGGGCCCAGGGGGAGGGCACUUGUGGUGACGACCAGGGUGGACUAAGGGCCUGUCUCCCAUCCUGUCUCUGCCACACCUUAUAGAGCCUGACCUGUGGGCUGGGCCCCCCAUGGUGGGCACUGCAGGCUCUAGGGGGCUGAAGUCCUGGCCUGGGGGACCUGUGGGGGCCAGGCUGGGGCCAUUGGAAUCUGUGUGGUGGUCCCCACCUGCACUCCAGCUCCGAUGGCUGAUGACGGGGGCCCUGGCAGCUGACCCCUUGCCUCAGUGGGGAGACCAUGGCCCACAAGGGCAUGAGACCUGCCCAGAGCAUAGCCCAGAGGCCGGCCUGGAUUCCCACAGCUCCACCCGCUGGGCCGUCCUGCCCUAUCCCGUUUUUAGCCUGCUGGGAUCAUGAGUCAGAACCCAGUAGGUGUGAGGGGACCCAGCCAGCCCAGGUGGCCAGUCCAGCCUGAGGGGGUGGGGAUCUCAGAGACUAAGUUAGGAGCCCAGAGUGCAUGCUUAGGGUGCAACCCACCCCAUAGUCUUCCCCAAGGCACCUCCCAGGGGCGCAGAUGGGGGCAGAUGCAGGGACACUCAGGGUGGACCACCUGACUGGGAGCUGAUGAUGAGGUGAGCGACAGCCUGAGUCAGCCUGAGCUCAGAGGAGCUGGGUUGGCCUUGAUCUUCCCCGUCCAGCCACUCACCACAGCUGGGAGGGUCCAAGGAGACCCUCAGCCACUGUCCCUUCAGCCCCCGCCCCACCCUGGCUGGCUCUGCCUGGACAGUCCUUAGGGACAUCUUGGUCCUGCCCACCAGCCAGGGGACCCAGAAUUGGAGCAGGGGAACAGGACCCCCAGACCUUCUCAUACAGCUUUUGUUCUGAGGCCUUGAGGGAACACGGGGUCUUCGUGAUCCCAGGCCAGAUGAUGCCAGGACAGAGGAGGGUCGGGCUGCAUUGGGGCCCUCCUGGUCCCCACUCCUGGGUGAGUCAGCAUCUCAGUCUCCAGUUCUGGGUGGGCAGCGCCAGGUGUGAGCCUCAGUGGUCUCCUUGCUGGCUAAGGACCUGGGAUUUGCUCCAGUGCCCCUCGGGAGGGAGUAGGACUCAGUGCCCAGAGAGCAAGCAGACCCCCUCCCCGACCAACUUCUGAGAGCAAAGACACCUAGGGUCAGAGAUUCAGCGCCCCCUGAGUCUCAGUUUCCCCACUAUGAAGUGGGAUCCGUGAUCUCAGCCUCACCAGGGCUGUGAGGAUUAAAUGGUGCAGCCCAGCCUGGUGUCUGCCUGGAGUAGGCAGCGUGCUCAGGACGGGCUGUGGAAGGAGGGCUGGGGUAUACCUUUCAAGGCCACUCGGGCAUGGGGAGCUGAGAGCUAGCGUGCCGUUUAACUUGGCAGGAAGCAGGUCGGGCUCGGUGGCUCACACCUGUAAUCCCAGCACUUUGGGAGGCCGAGGCGGGCGGAUCACGAGGUCAGGAGAUCAAGACCAUCCUGGCUAACAUGGUGAAACCCCGUCUCUACU
rnacentral:lncRNA from 1 species